GCGGCGGGCCCCGCCCACUGCAGACGCAGGCCCCGCCCCCCAUUGCCCCGCCCACCCGCCUCCUGCGGCGCUUCUCCUGUCCGAGGCGGGGCCUCGAGACCCGCAACGCUGGACCACGCCCACCCACUCGGGGCUCCGCCCACUCAGGGCUCCGCCCCUACCCCGGCGCCAAUGACCGGCUGUCUGCAGCUCUGGCUCCGCCCAGGUCCCCUGGACCACGCCUCUCCUGCCGGGUCCUGCUGCCACGCGCGGCUCGGAUUCUUAGCGAGGAGACACGGACCGCUGAGCUGCACCAUCCUUGCGGUUAGCUGGAGCCGCCGCAGAGCUAGCCCGGCCUCUUAAAGGGACAAGCAGCUUCCGCAGCGCUCGUUUCUGGAUUUAGGUCUCAGCAUCAUGCACAAAACCUUCUCUGCCUUCCCAGCACCCACCAGGUCUGGAUUGGGAUGCAUCCCCUGGACUAUGCCAGCACCAUGCCUACACACAGCAUGACAGACCAGGCUGCAGUUUCUAGAACAUUCUCACCAGGUUUCUUCAUGGAGAAAUGAAAGAGAGCAGUAAAACAUGAUGGCACAGAGGAAAGGGAGCGGCUGCAAAUCCCACAUGAUGCUACAGCUCCUUCUCGACAACUCAGAGGGGGACAUUCAGACACAGACCUGAGGAGGGAGCUGUUGGCGUCAUGCCCGCCCACCCGUUCCACAGCAGAAACCCUCAGUGAGCGGAAGGGGGCACAGAGGAGCGAGGGGCAAGAGCAUCGUCAAGAGAGCCUGGCGCCAUGAGAAGCAGCGCCGUGCACUCCUGCCUCUGGGCCUGUGCACGUGCUGGCUUCCCCUCCAGGAACACUGCUCCCCUUCUCGCUGGCCCGUUUGUACUUAUCCUUCAGAUCGGAGCUUUGGUCCACCUCUCCUUUUUCGUUUGUUGUCUCGUUUUGACUUUGUAAUGACUUACGUUCAGUAAAGU